CCCGCCUAGCUUCUCCUAGUUGCUAGAAGGCGAACUGCGAAUGCCACUCGGAGAAGAGCCAGGUGUCGCUGUGGUCCUCUACAAAUGCGCCGCCGCCGCACUCCUCGGCCUUAUAGGUUCCAGGAAAGCCCCGCCUAAGACGGAUCUUGGCCUCUCCUCAUCCCUUCCAGGUCCCUCUGAAGAUAUAUUUAUCAAGUGCCUGGCCAAGUGCCCAGCAUUGGGAGGUGUUCGGUGUAUUGUUUGGGAAGCCAUAUUUUCUGGCAUUGGAAUCAAGGCACCUGGGUGCCCAUGGGACCAUCAACCUUGCUGGGGAUAA
rnacentral:lncRNA from 1 species